CUCCCCCAGACUGGCUCCUUGUCCUAAUUCUGUCAGCAAAACCACAUUUCCAGACACCCAGAGCCUGCCUUUGGGGAAGCCUUUGGUUUUUUUUUCCUUCCUAUUGAAUCUGUCCCCAGCCCUGUUGGUGAUUAUUGGUCUCCGGGUGUCUCUUUCUCUGACCUUUCCGAGUCAUGAUUUCAAAGUCAUUGCUCACAAAAGUGAACAGAAUUAAAGUAACCAUAAAAGAAAAGGAAUUUCAAAAAGGAGAACUAAACCCAAAAUUGGAAUAAACUGGAGGAUGCCCCAUUGCUUCAUCCUGCAGACACCAGCCCAGCCCAGGACAGCACCUACACGUCAGCGCCGGUGCCUCCUGAGCCACGGCUGAGCCAAAGCCCACAGUCCACAUCGUCUCUCAGGCUUGGAGCCCGCCUGCAGCCUGCCACGUCGAGUCCCAUGUUUUGUGGCCACCUUCUGUGCACAAGCCCCUGACCCAACCUUUCCUGCCGUUCACCAUGCCUCAUUAUUAUGCUCUCCUCCAUCCUCCCACCUGCCUCCUGAAAUGCCCUUCCUUUGAGCUGAACUCUGUGAGUCUCUCAAAGCCCAGCUCAGCUGUGCAACUUCCGACUCGUGUGGCUCUUCCUGACUUGCUCCUGCUCUGAGAGUCUGUCGCACCCACAGCAAGGACAUGGCCAUGGUUACAAGCUCAGGCCCCAGAACCAGAAGUCACCUGUAUGCAGUAGCUGUGCGGUUUGGGCCAAGUCACUUAACACUUCAGAGCCUUCAUUGUCUUAUCUGUAAAAUGGGACU
rnacentral:lncRNA from 10 species